rnacentral:lncRNA from 1 species
AGAAACAGAUAGUGGUAGAUCAUCAGAGACAAGAUUCAGAAACAAGAACUAGUGAUUGCUUGCUAGCUCGGAACAUAUAGAUUACCUCCUCGUCCCUGUGCAUGACGUUCAUCAGUCCAUCGUAGUGAUUGUUGUGGUGAGCGCACUUGGGCGCGUUCACCGGGAGCGUCAGGUAGUUCGGGCCGAGCCGGUACCGCUGCGUGUCGCCAUACGCGAACACCCUGCACUGAAGCAUCUUGUCGUCGGAGUAGUAGAUGCCGGGCACCACCAGACCCGGGCCGAACGCUAGCUGCUCGUUCUCCGAGAAGAAGUUGUCGAUGUUGCGGUUCAAGACCAGCCUUCCCACCGGCUGCAGCGGCAGAAGGUCUUCGGGCCAUGUCUUGGUGUCAUCGAGCGGGUCGAAGUCGUAGCGGUCCUCGGUAUCCGGAUCCAUGACUUGAACGAAGAGCUUCCACUCCGGGUAGUUUCCGGCGGCAAUGGAGUCGUACAGAUCCUGGGUGGCGUGGCUGUGGUUCUUGCCGCCCACCACGAUCGCUUCGUCUUCCAGCAAGCACUUGACUCCACACGUGGGCUUCCAGUGGAACUUCACGUAGUUGACCUUCCCUUCCUUGUUGACGAAGGUGUAGGUGUUGACGCCGAAGCCUUCCAUGUGGCGGUAGUCGGACGGGACGCCCACGUCGUCGAAGAGGAAGAAGAAGGUGUGGAGGCUCUCGGGGUGGUGCGAGAGGAAGUCGAACACCCUCCAGUACUCCUGGACGUGGGACUUGGGGUUUGGCUUGAAGGCGUGGAUCACGUCCGGGAACUUGAUGCCGUCGCGGAUGAAGAACACGGGGAAGUUGUUCCCCAGCAGAUCCCAGUUGCCCU